rnacentral:lncRNA from 1 species
AGGGUGUUCUCUAGUCACAAUUGCAGAAAACAUAGUGGCUGAGACAACACCCUAUGCCCACACAACUAUUGGAACCCAUAGUCAAUCAAAAGCCCAGCCCUACCUGCAGAACAAAGCUUUGCAGCUUGUACCCAACAGUCAUUGCCAGGGACCCAGAACUGAUAAUCAAGACUUUUAGGCUGGGUGAAUAAAAAACUGAUGGUUGGAAAAUUAAGUUAUGUGGUUUGUGUUUUUAAAUAUUGGAGGAGUUGACAGAUAAAGACAAGGCUUGGCUUUAUUUCAAUUUGACAUGCACAGGCUUGGAGCUGGAGUUGAACCGGCGACUUCAGGAUCACAGCGUUUCAGAUGAGGAACAUCCUACAGCCCUCCGCUCUACCAACUGAGCUAUCAGGGUGUUCUCUAGUCACAAUUGCAGACAACAUAGUGGCUGAGACAACACCCUAUGCCCACGCAACUAUUGGAACCCAUAGUCAAUCAAAAGCCUAGCCCUACCUGCAGAACAAAGCUUUGCAGCUUGUACCCAACAGUCAUUGCCAGGGACCCAGAACUGAUAAUCAAGACUUUUAGGCUGGGUGAAUAAAAAACUGAUGGUUGGAAAAUUAAGUUAUGUGGUUUGUGGUUUUAAAUAUUGGAGGAGUUGACAGAUAAAGACAAGGCUUGGCUUUAUUUCAAUUUGACAUGCACAGGCUUGGAGCUGGAGUUGAACCGGCGACUUCAGGAUCACAGCGUUUCAGAUGAGGAACAUCCUACAGCCCUCCGCUCUACCAACUGAGCUAUCAGGGUGUUCUCUAGUCACAAUUGCAGACAACAUAGUGGCUGAGACAACACCCUAUGCCCACACAACUAUUGGAACCCAUAGUCAAUCAAAAGCCCAGCCCUACCUGCAGAACAAAGCUUUGCAGCUUGUACCCAACAGUCAUUGCCAGGGACCCAGAACUGAUAAUCAAGACUUUUAGGCUGGGUGAAUAAAAAACUGAUGGUUGGAAAAUUAAGUUAUGUGGUUUGUGGUUUUAAAUAUUGGUGGAGUUGACAGAUAAAGACAAGGCUUGGCUUUAUUUCAAUUUGACAUGCACAGGCUUGGAGCUGGAGUUGAACCGGCGACUUCAGGAUCACAGCGUUUCAGAUGAGGAACAUCCUACAGCCCUCCGCUCUACCAACUGAGCUAUCAGGGUGUUCUCUAGUCACAAUUGCAGACAACAUAGUGGCUGAGACAACACCCUAUGCCCACACAACUAUUGGAACCCAUAGUCAAUCAAAAGCCCAGCCCUACCUGCAGAACAAAGCUUUGCAGCUUGUACCCAACAGUCAUUGCCAGGGACCCAGAACUGAUAAUCAAGACUUUUAGGCUGGUUGAAUAAAAAAUUGAUGGUUGGAAAAUUAAGUUAUGUGUUUUUAAAUAUUGGAGGAGUUGACAGAUAAAGACAAGGCUUGGCUUUAUUUCAAUUUGACAUGCACAGGCUUGGAGCUGGAGUUGAACCGGCGACUUCAGGAUCACAGCGUUUCAGAUGAGGAACAUCCUACAGCCCUCCGCUCUACCAACUGAGCUAUCAGGGUGUUCUCUAGUCACAAUUGCAGAAAACAUAGUGGCUGAGACAACACCCUAUGCCCACACAACUAUUGGAACCCAUAGUCAAUCAAAAGCCCAGCCCUACCUGCAGAACAAAGCUUUGCAGCUUGUACCCAACAGUCAUUGCCAGGGACCCAGAACUGAUAAUCAAGACUUUUAGGCUGGGUGCAUAAAAAAUUGAUGGUUGGAAAAUUAAGUUAUGUGGUUUGUGGUUUUAAAUAUUGGAGGAGUUGACAGAUAAAGACAAGGCUUGGCUUUAUUUCAAUUUGACAUGCACAGGCUUGGAGCUGGAGUUGAACCGGCGACUUCAGGAUCACAGCGUUUCAGAUGAGGAACAUCCUACAGCCCUCCGCUCUACCAACUGAGCUAUCAGGGUGUUCUCUAGUCACAAUUGCAGAAAACAUAGUGGCUGAGACAACACCCUAUGCCCACACAACUAUUGGAACCCAUAGUCAAUCAAAAGCCCAGCCCUACCUGCAGAACAAAGCUUUGCAGCUUGUACCCAACAGUCAUUGCCAGGGACCCAGAACUGAUAAUCAAGACUUUUAGGCUGGUUGAAUAAAAAAUUGAUGGUUGGAAAAUUAAGUUAUGUGGUUUUAAAUAUUGGAGGAGUUGACAGAUAAAGACAAGGCUUGGCUUUAUUUCAAUUUGACAUGCACAGGCUUGGAGCUGGAGUUGAACCGGCGACUUCAGGAUCACAGCGUUUCAGAUGAGGAACAUCCUAAAGCCCUCCGCUCUACCAACUGAGCUAUCAGGGUGUUCUCUAGUCACAAUUGCAGACAACAUAGUGGCUGAGACAACACCCUAUGCCCACACAACUAUUGGAACCCAUAGUCAAUCAAAAGCCCAGCCCUACCUGCAGAACAAAGCUUUGCAGUUUGUACCCAACAGUCAUUGCCAGGGACCCAGAACUGAUAAUCAAGACUUUUAGGCUGGUUGAAUAAAAAAUUGAUGGUUGGAAAAUUAAGUUAUGUGGUUUGUGUUUUUAAAUAUUGGAGGAGUUGACAGAUAAAGACAAGGCUUGGCUUUAUUUCAAUUUGACAUGCACAGGCUUGGAGCUGGAGUUGAACCGGCGACUUCAGGAUCACAGCGUUUCAGAUGAGGAACAUCCUACAGCCCUCCGCUCUACCAACUGAGCUAUCAGGGUGUUCUCUAGUCACAAUUGCAGAAAACAUAGUGGCUGAGACAACACCCUAUGCCCACACAACUAUUGGAACCCAUAGUCAAUCAAAAGCCCAGCCCUACCUGCAGAACAAAGCUUUGCAGCUUGUACCCAACAGUCAUUGCCAGGGACCCAGAACUGAUAAUCAAGACUUUUAGGCUGGUUGAAUAAAAAAUUGAUGGUUGGAAAAUUAAGUUAUGUGGUUUUAAAUAUUGGAGGAGUUGACAGAUAAAGACAAGGCUUGGCUUUAUUUCAAUUUGACAUGCACAGGCUUGGAGCUGGAGUUGAACCGGCGACUUCAGGAUCACAGCGUUUCAGAUGAGGAACAUCCUACAGCCCUCUGCUCUACCAACUGAGCUAUCAGGGUGUUCUCUAGUCACAAUUGCAGAAAACAUAGUGGCUGAGACAACACCCUAUGCCCACACAACUAUUGGAACCCAUAGUCAAUCAAAAGCCCAGCCCUACCUGCAGAACAAAGCUUUGCAGUUUGUACCCAACAGUCAUUGCCAAGGACCCAUAACUGAUAAUCAAGACUUUUAGGCUGGGUGAAUAAAAAAUUGAUGGUUGGAAAAUUAAGUUAUGUGGUUUGUGGUUUUAAAUAUUGGAGGAGUUGACAGAUAAAGACAAGGCUUGGCUUUAUUUCAAUUUGACAUGCACAGGCUUGGAGCUGGAGUUGAACCGGCGACUUCAGGAUCACAGCGUUUCAGAUGAGAAACAUCCUACAGCCCUCCGCUCUACCAAGUGAGCUAUCAGGGUGUUCUCUAGUCACAAUUGCAGAAAACAUAGUGGCUGAGACAACACCCUAUGCCCACACAACUAUUGGAACCCAUAGUCAAUCAAAAGCCCAGCCCUACCUGCAGAACAAAGCUUUGCAGUUUGUACCCAACAGUCAUUGCCAGGGACCCAGAACUGAUAAUCAAGACUUUUAGGCUGGGUGAAUAAAAAAUUGAUGGUUGGAAAAUUAAGUUAUGUGGUUUGUGUUUUUAAAUAUUGGAGGAGUUGACAGAUAAAGACAAGGCUUGGCUUUAUUUCAAUUUGACAUGCAGAGGCUUGGAGCUGGAGUUGAACCGGCGACUUCAGGAUCACAGCGUUUCAGAUGAGGAACAUCCUACAGCCCUCCGCUCUACCAAGUGAGCUAUCAGGGUGUUCUCUAGUCACAAUUGCAGAAAACAUAGUGGCUGAGACAACACCCUAUGCCCACACAACUAUUGGAACCCAUAGUCAAUCAAAAGCCCAGCCCUACCUGCAGAACAAAGCUUUGCAGUUUGUACCCAACAGUCAUUGCCAGGGACCCAGAACUGAUAAUCAAGACUUUUAGGCUGGGUGAAUAAAAAAUUGAUGGUUGGAAAAUUAAGUUAUGUGGUUUGUGUUUUUAAAUAUUGGAGGAGUUGACAGAUAAAGACAAGGCUUGGCUUUAUUUCAAUUUGACAUGCACAGGCUUGGAGCUGGAGUUGAACCGGCGACUUGAGGAUCACAGCGUUUCAGAUGAGGAACAUCCUACAGCCCUCCGCUCUACCAACUGAGCUAUCAGGGUGUUCUGUAGUCACAAUUGCAGAAAACAUAGUGGCUGAGACAACACCCUAUGCCCACACAACUAUUGGAACCCAUAGUCAAUCAAAAGCCCAGCCCUACCUGCAGAACAAAGCUUUGCAGCUUGUACCCAACAGUCAUUGCCAGGGACCCAGAACUGAUAAUCAAGACUUUUAGGCUGGGUGAAUAAAAAACUGAUGGUUGGAAAAUUAAGUUAUGUGGUUUGUGUUUUUAAAUAUUGGAGGAGUUGACAGAUAAAGACAAGGCUUGGCUUUAUUUCAAUUUGACAUGCACAGGCUUGGAGCUGGAGUUGAACCGGCGAGUUCAGGAUCACAGCGUUUCAGAUGAGGAACAUCCUACAGCCCUCUGCUCUACCAACUGAGCUAUCAGGGUGUUCUCUAGUCACAAUUGCAGAAAACAUAGUGGCUGAGACAACACCCUAUGCCCACACAACUAUUGGAACCCAUAGUCAAUCAAAAGCCCAGCCCUACCUGCAGAACAAAGCUUUGCAGUUUGUACCCAACAGUCAUUGCCAGGGACCCAGAACUGAUAAUCAAGACUUUUAGGCUGGGUGAAUAAAAAACUGAUGGUUGGAAAAUUAAGUUAUGUGGUUUUAAAUAUUGGAGGAGUUGACAGAUAAAGACAAGGCUUGGCUUUAUUUCAAUUUGACAUGCACAGGCUUGGAGCUGGAGUUGAACCGGCGAGUUCAGGAUCACAGCGUUUCAGAUGAGGAACAUCCUACAGCCCUCCGCUCUACCAACUGAGCUAUCAGGGUGUUCUCUAGUCACAAUUGCAGAAAACAUAGUGGCUGAGACAACACCCUAUGCCCACACAACUAUUGGAACCCAUAGUCAAUCAAAAGCCCAGCCCUACCUGCAGAACAAAGCUUUGCAGUUUGUACCCAACAGUCAUUGCCAGGGACCCAGAACUGAUAAUCAAGACUUUUAGGCUGGGUGAAUAAAAAAUUGAUGGUUGGAAAAUUAAGUUAUGUGGUUUGUGUUUUUAAAUAUUGGAGGAGUUGACAGAUAAAGACAAGGCUUGGCUUUAUUUCAAUUUGACAUGCACAGGCUUGGAGCUGGAGUUGAACCGGCGACUUCAGGAUCACAGCGUUUCAGAUGAGGAACAUCCUACAGCCCUCCGCUCUACCAACUGAGCUAUCAGGGUGUUCUCUAGUCACAAUUGCAGAAAACAUAGUGGCUGAGACAACACCCUAUGCCCACACAACUAUUGGAACCCAUAGUCAAUCAAAAGCCCAGCCCUACCUGCAGAACAAAGCUUUGCAGUUUGUACCCAACAGUCAUUGCCAAGGACCCAUAACUGAUAAUCAAGACUUUUAGGCUGGGUGAAUAAAAAAUUGAUGGUUGGAAAAUUAAGUUAUGUGGUUUGUGGUUUUAAAUAUUGGAGGAGUUGACAGAUAAAGACAAGGCUUGGCUUUAUUUCAAUUUGACAUGCACAGGCUUGGAGCUGGAGUUGAACCGGCGACUUCAGGAUCACAGCGUUUCAGAUGAGGAACAUCCUACAGCCCUCCGCUCUACCAACUGAGCUAUCAGGGUGUUCUCCAGUCACAAUUGCAGAAAACAUAGUGGCUGAGACAACACCCUAUGCCCACACAACUAUUGGAACCCAUAGUCAAUCAAAAGCCCAGCCCUACCUGCAGAACAAAGCUUUGCAGCUUGUACCCAACAGUCAUUGCCAGGGACCCAGAACUGAUAAUCAAGACUUUUAGGCUGGUUGAAUAAAAAAUUGAUGGUUGGAAAAUUAAGUUAUGUGGUUUUAAAUAUUGGAGGAGUUGACAGAUAAAGACAAGGCUUGGCUUUAUUUCAAUUUGACAUGCACAGGCUUGGAGCUGGAGUUGAACCG